UCAGGCUUACGUUGGUUGUACACACAUCCAAGCAAGUCGAACGGGAUUAGAGCAAUCUAAUUCAGUGGCGAACGGGUGAGUAAUACUUAUCUUACUAGCCGAUUAGUGGGGGUAAUCCCGCAUAUUCUGGUUUCGGCCAGGAAAGGGUUCCGUUAGGGCCCGCUAGUCGAGAGGGAUAAGGCGUAUUAGCUAGUUGGUGGGGUAAUGGCCUACCAAGGCUGUGAUGCGUAGCCGGCCUGAGAGGGUGACCGGCCACAAGGGAACUGAGACACGGUCCCUACUCCUACGGGAGGCAGAAGGAGGAAACAUCUCGCAAUGGACGCAAGUCUGACGGAGUGAUACUACGUGAAGGAUGAAGGUGUCAACGACAUUGUAAACUUCUUUACUUAAGGGCACUGCCGCUUCGGCUUGUCCUUAGGCAAAAAGUCACGACUAACUAUGUGCCAGCAGUCGCGGUAAGACAUAGGUGGCAAACGUUAUCCGGAAUUACUGGGCGUAAAGGGUGCGUAGGUGGUUUAAUAAGUUACUGGUGGGAAAUCAGGGCCUAACUCUGUGGAAGUCAGUAAUACUAUUAAACUAGAGGGCCGGAGAGGUUAACGGAACUCCAUGUGUAGCGGUAAAAUGCAUAAAUAUAUGGAUGAACACCAAUAGGCGAAGGCAGUUAACUAUUCGGCUCCUGACAUUGAGGCACGAAAGCGUGGGGAGCAAGACGGAUUAGAUACCCGAGUAGUCCACGCCCUAAACGAUGAGUACUAGAUAUUGGGAACUCGAUUCUCAGUGUCGCAAGGUAACCCGGUAAGUACUCCGCCUGGGUAGUACGGUCGCAAGACUAAAACUCAAAGGAAUUGACGGGGACUCACAUAAGCAGUGGAGCACGUGGUUUAAUCCGAUAUGACGCGUAGAACCUUACCAAGAUUAUUAGUAGUGCAAAGCCGGAAGAAACUUCGGCCGAGGUCACCAUUACUAUGAAGGUGUUGCAUGGCCAUCGUCAGUUCGUGCUGUGAAGUGUAUGGUUCAGUCCUAUUAACGAACGAAACCCUUGUGCUUAGUUGCUAACAGGUCAAGCUGAGGACUCUGAGCAGACUGCCAAAGUAAUUUGGAGGAAGGCGAGGACCAAGCUUGGUCGUCAUGGCCCGUAAUGUCUUGGGCGACACACAUGCUACAAUGGUUAGGACAAAGGGUUGCUAACCCGCGAGGGGGUGCUAAUCUCAAAAAACUAACCUCAAUUUGGAUUGAAGGCUGAAACUUGCCUCCAUGAAACUGGAAUUGCUAGUAAUCGCAAAUCAGCCAUGUUGCGGUGAUAUGUAAUGAGUCCUCACUACCGC
rnacentral:rRNA from 1 species